CCCUUAGACACUCUAGGCGGCACGCGCGCUACAAUGGGCGGAAGAACGUGUUACUGCCUCCGAAAGGAGGGGUGAAUCACGAAUUCUUGCCCGUGAAUGGGAUAGUUUGUUGCAAUUUUCGGACUUGAACUAGGAAUCCCUUGUAAACAUGCUCAAGAAUAGCGUGUUGAAUACGUCCCUGCCGUUUGUACACACCGCCCGUCGUUUCUUCCGACUGAUACUCAUUGUGAGUUGCAAGGACCCUUUAUUGGGAAAUUGCUGCAAAUGCUUUGUAUUGGAGGGAGAAAAAGUCGUAACA
rnacentral:rRNA from 1 species